GUAGGGACGGGAGCAGAGCCCAUCGAGAAGAGCCACAUUGUAUGCAAAGAUAGGAAUUUGAAACACUCUUGAACACUCUAAGGAUCCUUUGAAGGAGGGGCAUUGACUGUGAUAGCUGGGUGUGGGGUGCAGACCAGAGGCUGCUCGCAGGGGACUAGACAGAACAGGCACAAUCCUCAGCACAACCACUCUUAUUUGGCCCAACCCCCAAGCAUAUCUCCUGAAUCAAGGCGAACGGCGAGGUCAGGGACUACCAGCUGCUGCCUGAAGAUUGCCUGGCAGGCCUGACCCCUUGGCAAAGCAAAGGAUCCAGUGAGGUCUUUGCAAAAAGUCUCUCCAAGGAGCUGAGGAGCUGGGCAUCAGUACAGCAGAAAAAUGCAAACCAAUCAAGUCACAGAUUUUUCAGGCAUGCCAACCUUCUGGUCCUAGGCAUGAAGCAUUCCAAAAAGCCUAGGAAAAUUCAUAUGUUUUCCUAAGAAUGAACCGAUAUCUUGUCCUUCCAAGUUGUAUCCUCUGAUCCCUCCCUGAGAGGCAGCCAUGAUCUCUGAGGGGUGAUAAUAGCUGGGCCUCCUGGCUGAGUGAAUCAUACCAACUGUAAGCUUGGCUUAUGACCCAGAAAUGGAAACAGGAAGUGGCUUACAGAAUAUAAAGAGCACAGUCAAGGAAGGAGUGCAGUAGAAUUCUUCUCGGAUGACAUGGUGUACAAUAGACAGAGGUGAAGACUGGCA